UACGAAGGACCCGAGCGUUAUCCGGAUUUAUUGGGUUUAAAGGGUGCGUAGGCGGAUUUACAAGUCAGUGGUGAAAUCUCCCAGCUUAACUGGGAAACUGCCAUUGAAACUGUUUAUCUUGAGUACAUUUGAGGCGGGCGGAAUGUGUCAUGUAGAGGUGAAAUUCUUAGAUAUGACACAGAACACCAAUUGCGAAGGCAGCUCGCUAAACUGUAACUGGCGCUGAGGCACGAAAGCGUGGGGAUCAAACAGG
rnacentral:rRNA from 1 species